CGGUAACAGGGAAAAGCUUGCUUUUCCGCUGACGAGUGGCGCACGGGUGCGUAACGCGUAUACAAUCUACCUCUUACAGGGGGAUAGCCUUUAGAAAUGAAGAUUAAUACCCCAUGGCAUUAUAAACCGGCAUCGGUUUAUAAUUAAAGUUUCGGCGGUAGGAGAUGAGUAUGCGUUCUAUUAGCUAGUAGGUGUGGUAACGGCACACCUAGGCAACGAUAGAUAGGGGCCCUGAGAGGGGGAUCCCCCACACUGGUACUGAGACACGGACCAGACUCCUACGGGAGGCAGCAGUGAGGAAUAUUGGACAAUGGGCGGAAGCCUGAUCCAGCCAUGCCGCGUGCAGGAAGACUGCCCUAUGGGUUGUAAACUGCUUUUGUACAGGAAGAAACCUUUCCACGUGUGGAGAGCUGACGGUACUGUAAGAAUAAGCAUCGGCUAACUCCGUGCCAGCAGCCGCGGUAAUACGGAGGAUGCAAGCGUUAUCCGGAAUCAUUGGGUUUAAAGGGUCCGUAGGUGGAUUGGUCAGUCAGAGGUGAAAUCCUGCAGCUCAACUGUAGAACUGCCUUUGAUACUGCCGGUCUUGAAUUAUUGUGAAGUGGUUAGAAUAUGUAGUGUAGCGGUGAAAUGCAUAGAUAUUACAUAGAAUACCGAUUGCGAAGGCAGAUCACUAACAAUAUAUUGACACUGAUGGACGAAAGCGUGGGGAGCGAACGGG
rnacentral:rRNA from 1 species